AUCAGAAUCUUUUUCCUUCUGUGACUUGGUAGCAACAGUGUGUAAAGCCAAGGCCACCGUGAAGCGGUGGGGGAAAUUUGGGCACCCGCAGACCUUGGCAGACACACUAUGCUAUUUUCAGACUUGCGGAGCCUUUGCACUGCCUCCCUGUCAUCCUCACCUGUCUCUGGUCUGAAAGUCCAUUUUAACUCUGCUUUCUUGGAGGCAGAAACAAGCAUGUGACAGGAUGCAGAGAAUUACUCCUGGCUUUGAUGUCUCUUCAACAGCUUGAUGAAACCUGGUUUUUCCACCUGUCUUCACUUCUCCAAGCCUUACCUGCAAGCGCUUCCGUGAAAGCCCCCAGCACACCAUCUCUGGGAUGUGGAAGCUUAGGAGGGGAGAAUUAAAAAAACAAAACGAAGGUAACAGUAAUCAAGAUCCAAACUUAGAAAACAUUUCUUGAAGUGACAUUAUCUGC
rnacentral:lncRNA from 1 species